rnacentral:rRNA from 1 species
GACGUAGGGUGCAAGCGUUAAUCGGAAUUACUGGGCGUAAAGCGUGCGCAGGCGGUUAUAUAAGACAGUUGUGAAAUCCCCGGGCUCAACCUGGGAACUGCAUCUGUGACUGUAUAGCUAGAGUACGGUAGAGGGGGAUGGAAUUCCGCGUGUAGCAGUGAAGUGCGUAGAUAUGCGGAGGAACACCGAUGGCGAAGGCAAUCCCCUGGACCUGUACUGACGCUCAUGCACGAAAGCGUGGGGAGCAACAGG